AGAGUGUCCCCAAAAAACAAAACUAUUCAAAUAACAUAUUGUUAAAAUUUGAAUGCUUUUAUGCACCUGUGAGUUCAGCAGAGUGCCAUUAAGGCAUACAAAUUCUAACAAUACAUUAUUUCAAUAGUUUGGUUUUUUUGGGACACCCU